AGAGUUUGAUCAUGGCUCAGAUUGAACGCUGGCGGCAGGCCUAACACAUGCAAGUCGAGCGAACCUAGCUUGCUAGGUGAGCGGCGAACGGGUGAGUAACGCGUAGGAAUCUGCCUGGUAGUGGGGGACAACGUUCCGAAAGGAACGCUAAUACCGCAUACGCCCUAAGGGGAAAUGGGGGGAUCUUCGGACCUCACGCUAUCAGAGGAGCCUGCGUCGGAUUAGCUAGUUGGUGGGGUAAAGGCCUACCAAGGCGACGAUCCGUAGCUGGUCUGAGAGGAUGAUCAGCCACACCGGAACUGAGACACGGUCCGGACUCCUACGGGAGGCAGCAGUGGGGAAUAUUGGACAAUGGGGGCAACCCUGAUCCAGCCAUGCCGCGUGUGUGAAGAAGGCCUUCGGGUUGUAAAGCACUUUAAGCGGGGAGGAAAGUUCGUUGGCUAAUAUCCAGCGAAAUUGACGUUACCCGCAGAAUAAGCACCGGCUAACUCCGUG
rnacentral:rRNA from 1 species